rnacentral:rRNA from 1 species
UUGGAGGGCAAGUCUGGUGCCAGCAGCCGCGGUAAUUCCAGCUCCAAUAGCGUAUAUUAAAGUUGCUGCAGUUAAAAAGCUCGUAGUUGAAUUUCGGGACUAUCAUGUCGGUCGUGCCUCGGUACGUACUGGCAUUGUUGGUUUCUCCCUUCUGACGAACCAUGAUGUCAUUUAUUUGGUGUUGUGGGGAAUCAGGACUGUUACUUUGAAAAAAUUAGAGUGUUUAAAGCAGGCUCACGCUUGAAUACAUUAGCAUGGAAUAAUGAAAUAGGACGUUCGAUCCUAUUUUGUUGGUUUCUAGGAUUGACGUAAUGAUUAAUAGGGAUAGUUGGGGGCAUUAGUAUUCAAUUGUCAGAGGUGAAAUCCUUGGAUUUAUUGAAGACAACUACUGCGAAAGCAUUUGCCAAGGAUGUUUUCAUUAAUCAAGAACGAAAGUUAGGGGAUCGAAGACGAUCAGAUACCGUCGUAGUCUUAACCAUAAACUAUGCCGACUAGGGAUCGGAUGAUGUUAAUUUUUUAAUGACUCAUUCGGCGCCUUACGGGAAACCAAAGUGUUUGGGUUC